rnacentral:rRNA from 1 species
UAAGGUUUUAAUUGAAUGCUAAAAGAAUGGAAUAUCAAAGAAUAACUUUCUUAAAAUUAAAAAUUGAAAUUUUUUUAAUUUGUGUAAAAACAAUUAUAAAAAUUAAAGACAAGAAGACCCUAAGAAUUUUUAAAAUUUAAAUUAAUACAUUUUUGUUUUAAUUAAAUUUUAACUGGGGCGGUUAAAAAAUAUUAAAAACUUUUUAAUUUUGAAAAUGGUCCAUUAUUAAUGAAAAUAUGAUAAAAUACUCUAGGGAUAACAGCGUAAUA